rnacentral:lncRNA from 1 species
UGUAAAAUAGUGUAAUUUUGGAAAAUGGUAGUUGAUUUUGUGAGAAAUUUUGUGCUUAGAACUUGGAAUUUGGUCUCCAAUCCGAAAGUUCCGUGUACAAAAUCAAGCAUGGAUUCCAAAGAGGUCGCACAAAUUUUGGUUUCUCCUUCGAUGGGAGGAACUUCGCAAUGAUUCAGGGUCCCUUCCAUGGCUUUGGCUAGGGAUGAAUCAUCUGAGAACGAGAAGAAUUGAAGAAGGUAAGGCAGUUGUUUCAAUGAAAAUGGAAUGGAAUCUGCUUCUUCUCUAGGCAAAGCCUGAGGAUAAGCUGAAGGAUCUCUCUUGCGAAAAUAAAUCGGCAUCGUUUCGCCAAUCUUUAGAUCCUUCAAGGCCAUCGUUGAAGGGUCCAUGUGAUUCAUGUGGGAUGGUAUUGAAUGAGAAUCAUGAAGAUUCUCCGAAAGCACCUGAGCACACUGUAAAACAGUUGAGCAAUUCAAUAUCACAACAUAGAUGAAAAAUCAACAACACAAGUUCUAUAAAGUGUAAAACUGAAGGAGCAAAAUAUAUCUUUUUGAGUUAUUGCUUUAAGACAACACUUAUGUACAUGUAUUGCAAAGUAAGCCACUUAAUUAGCACACAUUGAGGAUUAUUACCAGAAAGAGUAGAGAAAGAAGGAGGUUCCAAGCUGAAAAUCGUAACCCCAUCUCUUUUCUAUUAUCGAAGUUUGUUAUAUAUUUUAGUAAUCUUUUUUUUUUCAGGGAGAAGAAACACAGAUAACAAGUGAAGCAGAAAGAGAAGAGAUUGUGUGACUGUAUAUGUCAACAACCAAAUGAUGUGUGUUGAUUUUCAAGUGGACAUUUAUAGCCUGCAUAAGCUGAACUUGUUCUACUGUGCUGAUUAAUUGAAUCACAACACAGUUUGAAUAAUGACCUUAAUAGUCCAAUCCAGCAAAGAAUUCAGCACUCCAAUCAUUUGGGGACACACGUAUUGCACCUUCAUCAGGUCUGCGGAUUUUAAUAGUUUUGACUGAGUGAAUGAUUACUUCAAUUGAUAACAUUGCAUAUUAGAUUACCAGACCUAAAAUUGAUUUCUUAUUAAAAAAUUUACUUGCAAUUUGGAAACUCUCUUUGACACAUUAAUUACAGACUCGAAAUCUGUAUCAAUAUUCCCCAUACAUAGACAGAACUGAGCAUAAAAAGUGGGAAGGCAGAUCGUAAACAAAUUCGACAUGGUAGUUUCCAAGGAUGAAUAGCAUUUUUUUCAUUCAAAAAUGGGAUAAUAUAUCCUUCAGUCACGUAAUGUACACUAAGGCGGCGUUUGGUUGGGAGGAGAGAACAAAGAAGAGGAAAGUAAUUUAAAUUUUCUUUUUAUUUUCAUUGUUUGGUUUGAUAAAAUAUAUAAGAAUUUAAUUUCCAUUAGAAUUUAAUAUCCAUCAUAAUUUGAAUUCCACACCAAGUAGUGAAGAAUUUAAAUUCCUCUUAUGUUAGAAACUAAAGUUUCCAAAAUUACCCUUCAACUUGUUUAAUGUCAUUAAUAAUUAUUAUUUAAUAUUAUAAAUGGAUCACCGCCGGAAAGUCGCCGGACUACCGCCGGAAAGUCACUGGAAAGUUACCGGGCCACCUCGGAAUGUUGCCGGAAAGUCACCAGACCACUGCCGAAAGUUGCCGGACGUCGCCAAAAUCCUGCCGAACGUUGCCAUAAGGUAGUUUCCAAGGAUGAAUAGCAUUUUUUUUUCAUUCGAGAAUGGGAUAAUUUAUCCUUCAGUCACGUAAUGUACACUAAAGCUCUUCUCAACCUAGUGUGCGUCGGAUAUGUGAGCGUCGGGGCUCCAAUCUCCCGUACAAUCUUUAAAAUUUUGUUUGGUCAAAUUAACAGGCUGCACUCACUGUAUUUCCAUGGAUCACACUACUUCAACUAAAAGAUAAGAUAAUAAGUAUCUUUAGGAUUUUACUGAAUGAUUUUUAAGUAGUUUUUAUUAAUUAAUUAUUCAAAUUCGAAUUAAAAAAAGACUAAAAAAUUCAUCUGAAUUUUUCUCACUCCCAAUCUUUAAAAAUAAAACAAAUAAUAAGUCAUAUAAACAAUAUUUUAAAUGCAAUUUUCACUUCAAACAUAUUUCAUUUGAAGUUUAAUUAUAUUCUCCGAUGGAACCUGGAUAAGUUGAAAAAAAAUUUAUUAAUAAAAAAAAUGUACAUCUAAUUGUCUAACGAUGGGUCAAGAACAAAAGGUUAAAAGAUAAUAUACGUGGACAUGAUAAUGCAGAAACCGAAAAUCAAAAGGGCACGAGUUUCAAAUGCUAGACAAAUGAAAGAGACGUGUGAUUGCAGGUCGAUUUUCUUCUCAUCACUAGCCACUAGUGUUGUGCGCGGAAUGCGGAAUCAAGCGCACCAAAUAAUUAUUGAAAAAUAAAGGACACAAGAAUUUACGUGGUUCGGUAAUUAAACCUACAUCCACGGAGACAAGAAAGAAUAAUUGUUUAUUUAACAAUUAAUAGAAUACAAUAUUUGAGUAACGAAUCUCACUUCCCAGAAAACCCAAAUAUACCCAGUACUCUCACACUCUGCAAGAAAGAUAAAUUCCCCAGACACACUUCUCUCACUUCUCUCAAAAGCUUAGAAACUUAUAAGCUUGACAAUUUUGGGAUGAUUUCAAAUGAAUGAAAUCCUUAGCUAUUUAUAGACUUGAAGCUAGUAUUAUUCCACCUAACCCAAGUACUAUUUCACCUAACCCAAGCACUAUUCCACCUAACCCAUGCAAAUAUGUCAAUGGUGUCCAUUUGGCAAAUUUGACAAAUUUGCCAACUUUCCAUUUUUUCUUCAAAUGUUUGGUAGCUCUUUGAAAAAUUGCCACAUGCAUGACUUUUCAACAAUUCUCCACCUCGGCGAAAAUUUGUCCAAAUCUGAGCCGACUACCAACGAACCCUCAUCCCCAAAGUGAUCCUUCAAUAAGGAUCCAGAAUGACUGUGUCGAUUCGACUGUCUACGUACCCAAAAUUUGGGAUCAAGCCAACCGUAGUUCAAAAAUUCUCCAAACUCAACGCAUUCGAAGAAUUAGUUUCAAUCCGUAUAAAGAUUUACUCAAUCUGCACACACGAUUUUCCUUUCCAGCAACUCUGAAACCACAAGGCUGAAUCAUAUAGAUUUUCUCCUCUAAAUCUCCAUGUAAGAACGCCGUCUUAACAUCCAACUGAGCUAACUCUAACUCAUAUUCUGCAACUAAGGCAAGUAGGAUACGAAUGGAAGUAUGUUUUACAAUUGGAGAGAAAACUUCAUUGUAGUUCAUACCUUCCUUUUGAGCAAAACCUUUUGCCACGAGCCUUGCCUUGUAUCGAGGAGUUGUUUGAUUCGGAGAUCCUUGCUUUUUGGUGUAGACCCAUUUAUUGCCAAUAGCCCUUUUCCCCUUUGGUAACUUUACAAGUUCCCAAGUCUGGUUUUGAUGGAGAGAUUUCAUCUCUUCCUCCAUGGCUAGCUUCCACUGAUCACUUUCAUUGCUGCGUAAUGCUUCACCGAAAGUAUUGGGGAUGUCAUCAUCAAUAACUGAAAGUGCAUAGGCUACCACCAUAUCUUUAGUAAGCCAUCCGGGUUUUUUUAUCUCUCUUUUUGGCCUCCUUGUUGCUAUAAAAUCAUCAUCAUCUACAUCAUCAAUUGUUUUUUCAUUUUGUGGGACAUCAGAAGAAACAACCUCUUCUUCAACUUUAGGUGUCACCUCCAUAGUUGAACCAUUCUUUGAUGUAGAACUAACUUGUACAUAUGGAGUUGCAUCAAACUCCACCCGCUGCAAUACCUCUGUGGUCUUGUUCUCCACCUGCUGAGAACUUGAAGCUUUUAUCAUUGAAGCUUCAUCAAAUGUGACAUCUCCGCUACACACAAACUUUUUGUCUUCGAGAUCCCAAAGCUUGAAGCCCUUUACUCCACCUUUGAAUCCCACAAAGAUAGAUUUUUUAGCACGAGGAUCCAGUUUACCAUCUUUGACAUGAUAAUAAGCUGGACACCCGAAUACACGAAGGGAAUCAUAGUCUUGUGCAUGCUUUCCAGACCCCAUUUCCAUAUGAGUUUUACCUCCAAUUGCAGCAGAAGGCAACCGAUUUACCAAGUGACUUGCGUAGCUCACAGUUUCAGCCCAAAACUUUUUAUCUAAACCAGCAUUAGAUAACAUACAUCGUACCUUCUCCAGUAAAGUACGAUUCAUACGCUCAGCCACACCGUUCUGUUGCGGAGUAUGUCUCACCGUGAAAUGUCUUUUAAUACCCUCGUUCUGGCAUACUUGCAAGAAUGGAUCAGAAGUAUAUUCACCCCCAUUAUCAGAUCGUAAUACUUUGAUCUUUCUGCCAGUUUGAGUCUCCACCAAUUUCUUCCACUUCACGAAAAUCUUUAGAACCUCAUCCUUUGCUCGCAUGGUGUACACCCAUACACGUCUAGAGAAAUCAUCAACAAAUAUAACAAAAUAAUGGCUUCCACCAAUUGAUGCAGUCUUGGUUGGUCCCCAUACAUCACUAUGAACAUAUUCAAGGAUCUCACGAGUAUCGUGAUUAGCUGUACCAAACUUGACCCUUGUUUUCUUGCCUACUACACAAUGCUCACAGAAAUUUAAUUUACAGGUUUUGGUACCUUUUAAGAGUCCAUGCCUCAUCAGAGUUUGCAAAGACUUCUCUCCUGCAUGUCCCAGUCGUACAUGCCAUAGCUUGGUGGUGUCACUGUGCGCCUCAACAACAUUUGCUUCAUCAGUUGUACCUCUCUUCAAAUAGUACAAAUUGUGACGCCGAACCCCUUGCAGAAUCAUCAUAGCCCCAUGUGUAAACUUCAUUGUGCCAUCUUCAAUGGUAACUUUGUAACCUUUAGCUUCCAAAGCACCCACAGAAAUUAGAUUUUUCUUUAUCUCUGGAACAAAUCUAACCUAUUUGAGUUCUCUGACCAUUCCAUCAAACAUUUUGAGCCGAAUUGUUUCUAUCCCCAUUGUGCGACAAGGUUGAUUAUUCCCCAUCAUAACUGCACCGGAUUCCAGAUUACGAAAAUCCGUAAACCAUUCCUUAAUAGGACACAAAUGAUAGGUUGCUCCAGUAUCAAGUGUCCACUCACUCGAACUAGCCACGUAUGCUGCAGGAGUAAUACUUAGUGAAUAAUCAGAGUUCUCAUCUUUCCGUGCCAUGUUUGCUGCUGCUGGUUUCUUCCCAUCUCUCUUUUGAGCCUUUGGACAAUCUUUUCUCCAAUGACCCUUUUCAUGAAAAAAGGCACACUCAUCUCGAGCUAUAUUUCUGCUUCUUGAUUUGGAUCAAGAAUUCAUUCCACCACGGUUCUUCUGUUUCUCCAUCGCCCAAUCUCUGCUCACCAAAGCUUCAGACGAUGCUCGUUCAGAAUUUUUAUCAUUAUUCUGAAUCUCCAAACUAGUCAAUGCUGUGCAAACAUCUUUAAAGACGAUCACACUCUUCCCAUAUAUCAAAGUAGUCACAAAAUGGCUAUAUUCCUCUGGUAGUGAGUGUAACAGAAUCAUAGCCUUAACUUCAUCUUUAAUAUCUUCAUCAAGAUUCUUCAAAUCAGCAAGUAACUUUUCAAAUCUUGAAACAUGAUCGUGCAUUGACACCCCAGGCUUCAUUCGAAAACCAUAUACUUGGCUCAUUACAUGAAGGCGAUUUUCAGGACUUUUCACCAGGUACUUCUCCUCCAAUGUACGCCACAAAGUCACCGCACACUCCUCAUCUUUCACCAAGUAUUUCACCUCCUUGGUCAAACAAGAUCUGAUAUGACCACAAGUUUUUUCGUUCAUACGAUCCCAAAUUUCUUCAUCAUACAAGUGCCUUUUAUUUUUUAGAACAACAUCGAGAUCGAUUUGAAUAAGGGCAUCCAUAACUUCGCGCCUCCACAUGCCGAAGUUGAUUUUCCCAUCAAACUUUUCAACAUCGAUCUUUUGGCCUCCUAUAACAUGUGCUGAAUAGCGAUUUGAUAAAUCUCGCCUCCCACCUGAAGUGUCUCCUGAAAUAGUCUCGGUAGAUAUCUCCCUAAUUCUGGAAGUUUCACCUUCUACCAUUUUCUCAACGAACUAUUUCCACUUAAAAAACAGUCUCUAUGAUGUUAAUUUCGCGUGAAUAAAUGCACCAGGAAAGUUCCCAGGAAACUGGACGGGAACUCGGUCCCAAUUAAAAACCAGAAUCCUUAGACUCUUAUCGCCUUUUUUGACAGAACUUUCCUAGACAUGCAAAAAUACACACUACUUACAAUAGACUGUCUCCCAAGUACAAAUGGCCGUCUCCACCGUAUUCGUAAAUAGUGCCGUAUAUGUGAACAGUACCGUAUACGUGAACAAUACCGUAUACGUGAACAGUACUGUAUCCCCCAAGUACGAACCGUCGGCUCUGAUACCACUUGUUGUGCGCGGAAUGCGGAAUCAAGCGCACCAAAUAAUUACUGAAAAAUAAAGGACACAAGAAUUUACGUGGUUCGGUAAUUAAACCUACAUCCACGGAGGCAAGAAAGAAUAAUUGUUUAUUUAACAAUUAAUAGAAUACAAUAUUUGAGUAACGAAUCUCACUUCCCAGAAAACCCAAAUAUAUCCAGUACUCUCACACUCUGCAGGAAAGAUAAAUUCCCCAGACACACUUCUCUCAAAAGCUUAGAAACUUAUAAGCUUAACAAUUUUGGGAUGAUUUCAAAUGAAUGAAAUCCUUAGCUAUUUAUAGACUUGAAGCUAGUACUAUUCCACCUAACCCAAGUACUAUUUCACCUAACCCAAGCACUAUUCCACCUAACCCAUGCAAAUAUGUCAAUGGUGUCCAUUUGGUAAAUUUAACAAAUUUACCAACUUUCCAUUUUUUCUUCAAAUGUUUGAUAGCUCUUUGAAAAAUUGCCACAUGCAUGACUUUUCAACAACUAGCACACAUCCCCUUAAUCAAAAUCUUUUUCAAUAUUGUUUAUUAUAUAAAUGGAUAUUGGUAGUGGUUGAACUUCUAUUAUUUAAUUAUGUUGUCAUUUUCCAUCACUACAACAACAGAUGAUUCAAGUAGGAUCGAUCAAUAAUUGUCGCCCAAUGUUUUGUCUUUUUCAUAAUUUAGUUAUUUUUGUUCAUAUGUCUGACGAAGAAGUUUUAAUUUUGCAAGAGGAAUUCAAGUUGAUAAGACCUUGUCGACUUGUCUUCUGCUGAAGAAUCUUGAAUAAUCAUGCCAAAUUCAAAAAGUGGCAAAAGCAAAAGGCUAAGUUCUUAAUGAAUUCAAUAUUAUUACGAAUUUGGUGCUAGCUCAAUCUUGAAAAUGAUCCAAAAAUUAAAAAGUAAACAUAUAAUAAUCACAUCUACAAAUGUACAUUAUUAGUGAGUCAUUGAUGAUAUCCCAUCACGAAUUCAUUAGCUGACUAAUUAAAGAUACCACGAAAAUAUUAUAUCAUUAGCUGGUCUAAAAAAGUAGUCAAUAAGAAAAUGAAAGGUAAAUUCAUAAAUUUCAGCCGGAAUUUUUUUUUUUUUUUUUAAAAGGACCAAUAAUUGUAGGAAAUGGCUAGCUUCUUAUCCUCUUCACAAAAGAUUAAAUCCUCUUGAAAAGGUUUGUUACUGAAAUACAUAUCAUAUUACACCAACACUCUCUAUUACCAUAUGAAUUUAGAUCUUCCCCUAACUUAAUAUUUCAUAUAAUAUUGUAGGAAUAAUCUUCAUCACCGGAGAUUAGGAUCUUCUCCUAACUUAAUAUCUCAUAAGUGUUGUAUGAGAUUAUUUAGCUCAUGUCAUUAUAUUUUUCUAAAGCUAGGAUUUAAUUUACUUUAUACUUUCCUUAUUAAACAUUAAAACCAAUAAUUUUCUAGGCUAAGUAAAACCAUGAAAUUCAAGUGUGCCGCUUUCUAACCAAACUGCUGCUUCUUUCUCUACCGUUUUUUUUUUUUUUUUUGGUCACAAACUUUAAACUGUGGUAUAUAUAAACUUGAGCAAAGAAGCAUUAUUGGUAGGAUUGGCAAUGAGACGGGAUGGGAUGAGAUUUACCAAUCCCACUCCCGUCCCGCAUAUAUAAUUGAGAUAAAAAAAUGUCUCACUCCCAUCCUUCAAUUUUUUUAUGGGACCAAAAUAUAUCCCAAUCCUGUCCCAAAUUGCCAUCCCUAAUUAUUGGCAAUUCAUUCUUUUAAGAAUUGUUUAUGUAAUGGAAUCAGACCAGAACAGAAUGCAUUAUUGUUCGAUAUACGUAGUCUACAAUAACAAUUGAAGACACCUGAAGAUAAUAUCAAUUAUAGACAAUUGUUAUUGCAAUAUAUUCAAUGCAUUGUUGCUAUCGCUUGUCUGCAAUUAAUUUUAUAUAAAUUAAGCUGAUAUAUCUCAUUUCAGUGUACUAAUAAUUAAGUUGAACGUUGAUGCAGCUACUGCUAUUUCCAGGAACACAGCUUUCUAGGAGCCAUUAUUCGUAAUGUGAGAAGGGAGAUUAAUUAUGGCAGUAGCUAUCUAAAGUAAAAUUUUGGAGAUCUUGAAUUCGCAGAAGCAGAAGCAAUGAGAUUUGGGAUCGAAAUAUGCAAACGGCACAGGUCUAUUUCCAUUCAUUAUUGAAUCAGAUACUAAGAAUGUUGUCAAUCUUGCUGCAGCACUUGAAAGUACUAGAAAAGAGAUUCUUUGAGUGAUAUAUCUCUGAUAUUUAAUUGUUGGCUAGACAACUGGCAAUUUCAAAUUUGUAUUCAUUCCUAGAAUAUGUAACGUGGAAGUUCAUAGAUUAGCUAAACUUGCAGUUAGCGAUCAGAAAGCCGUAUUGUUUGGAUUGAGAAUAUUCCUAUAGAUGUAAAAUCUUAUCAUUUUUGAAGAAUUUUUUACUUUGAAAAUAAAAUAAUUAAGGGCCAUCUCUAUCGUUGCGAAUUGUAACUCGUAGACUUUGCGGUCCACAUUAUGAAUUUAAAAUUCUUGCAUGAUUAAUCACCCACAUGAGCAUGCUCCCCCAACCUGCCACAUCAUGUUACCACUUCUUCCAAUCUGUGUAUACACACACACACACACACACACCAGUAUGGCCUCCAUGCAAAUCACAAACGCAGUAUCUAAUAUUGUUUGUCACUGGCAAGAAACAUGAAUAUUAAAGCCUUCUUUGUUCUCUCCACAGUGCUCUCAUUGCUUCUCUUGUUAUGUAUCAUUUGAUCAGUAAUAAUGUUAGGUUAAUCACAAAUUCAUUAUAUAAAAUAUUUUGUACAAAAUUGAUAACACAUAAUGUACAGUAUCGAUGUGAUAAGAACACCACACAACCCGAUCAUUAUUUUAUAUUUCCAUUCAACCAAUACUAUUUUAUCACAUCAGCUUUAAGAGUAGCUUAAUUAUAGCUAGCUCUAGCAUUACUCGUUUUGAUUCAAAUGAUUUUCGAAUUUUUAUCAUUUGCAUGGUCAAUAUAUAGUUCCUCUCUCUUUUUUUUAUUUUUUAUUAAUUGUUUUCCUUGUGUGCAGUUUGCCAACAUGAUAGAUGCAAGAAAAUACCAUGGAGACGAUUGGAGUAUUGUCGUGAAAAAUCAAGACAUGCCUUGGGAAUCAACUCAAGGUCUCAUUCCCGAAGUUCAAGGCCCGACCAUCUCUAAAACCAAAGCCUAUUGCCAUACACAUGAUGAUUCUGAGCACACCAUGGAGAAGCCUUUUGUCAAUAAGAACUUUGAGCUGAUGCCUGAUGUUUCAAUCUAUGACAACGGUAUUAAGCCAACCAAACAAAAGGCUUUUGCCAAGCACUUCGAGUUCUUGCCUGAUGUUUCAAUUUACGACAACGGUAUUAAGCCAACCAAACAAAAGUUCUUCGCCAAGGACUUCGAGCUCAUGCCUGAUGUUUCUAUUUAUGACAAUGGUGUAAAGCUAGCCAAACAAAGGUUCUCCGCCAAGGACUUCGAACUCAUACCUGAUAUUUCAAUUUAUAACAAUGGUGUAGAGCUAGCCAAACAGAAGGCAUUCGCCAAAGGCUUCGAGCUCAUGCCUGAUGUUUCAAUUUAUGACAAUGAUAUUAAACCAACGAAGAAGAGUUCAUAUGCCAAGGACUUUGAGCUGAAGGCUGAUAUUUCAAUUCAUGAACCGACCGAACAAAAAUAGGUAAUUAGCAUUACGGAUCUGCAGCCAGAUGCUACAAUUUAUCAUAAUUAAAUAGAUGAUCAUGCUUGUAAUCAGGCGCAGGAUGGAGUCUCUUACCAUAUUUAAUGUUCUAGAAGAGUAGCCACAUACGUGCAAUAACGCUUUCCUUGUUUGUGUGUGUUGUCAAAAGCGCUGUUUCUAAAGUAAUGUAAUAAGUGCUGAAAUAACCCAUGCAAUAAAAUCAUGUCAUGCGUCUUUAAUUUUUUUUUUCUCUCUCUCUUAAACAAUCUUAUGAUAGAUUAUUUACAAGUUAUAAUUUAUAAAGAGAGAAACUAUAUUAAAAUAAUGCUUUUUACAUAAAUAUUCUAUCCAUUAAUCUCGUAUAGCUAAUUAAGUUUGUUUUUUUUUUUUUUAUUUACAACGACAUCCUUAGAUGUUUAAAUUGUUUUUUUUUUAAAGGUAAAAGGGUUGGGUCAAUCAAAAUUAAUUUUUUCACCCUGAUCUCUUUGAGAUUCGAACUUAGGUGGCUAGCUAACUAAGAUUAUUUGAAACCAUUCGGUUGGGUUUCUAGGGGCCUUGGAUGUUUAAAAUUUGUAUUUUGAAUUGUUAUUCAGAUGGAACAAUAUAAUUAACUUUAAUUUCAAAGUCAAUUUGACCCUAUUUAAUUUUGAGAUGCUGUUACUUUUAAACUAGCUACUUGGGAAAAAAAAAAGUCGUAACCUUAAAAUAAAAAGUGAUACUGUGUGGAAAAUAUGAUUUUAAAUAAUAAUUUUGACAAAAUAGCAAAGAAAUAUUAUUUAAAUUAUUAUUACCAGCCAAACAAAAAUAGGUUUUUUAUUAUACAAAUGCAAGAUCAAAUCAACUUAAUUUUUGAGUUACAACAACUACUACUUACUAAACACUUUGAUGUCAAUACCAAAUAGGCCUCUUUUUUCCUCUCCCUCUCUAAUUUGUAAGACUACCCAACCAUAUAUUGUAUAAUAUUCAAUUAUUAUAUUAACUAGUUUUAUUUUCUUAUGAUCACAUGAUAUCUUUUUUUUUUCAAGAAUCUGAACAGAUAAUGGUUUUAAAGCUCAGAAGUAGAUCUGAUUCUAAAUAUUUGGAAAUUGAAAAAAAAAAAAAACUAAUUCACAUUUGCAGAAGAAGGUAUGUACUUGAUAACUUGAACGCCAUGAUGGUAUAUAAUUAAAUUUAACUAUUGUUAUAUUUUUAUUUAUUAAUCACUAAUUAUUCACGAUGAAUUUUAUUUGAAUAAGUUCAUAUCAUGAUAGAAUCUUAAUUCAAAUACAUAUGAAAAAAAAAAUCUAUGACUGCACUAAUAAGAUAUUUCAUUUAAUCAUGUGAUAUUAAAAUGAAAAUUAUGAUAGAUAAACUUAAAUUUUCCAUUUUCCCCCCUUUAUCAUCUCACAUGGGCCACUUCAAUUCGCUGAAAUCCUGAUGCUUCGGCCUCCAGAUGUAAAAGAACAUGAGUCACAUAUAGUAUUGGUAGAUGCGUGAAUGGAUCACAUCUCACUCAACCAACAAAUUGCAUGUCAUCUGGAAAAUGAUUUAAAUAAAUGAACAAAUACUCAGUCCUCUAUUUUAAGUUAAGUAUUUGUUUAUUCCUUAUAUUUUAAAAAUAUCUCAAAAUAAGUUGUAGUUAAAUAUAUUACAUUCUUAAUCUUGUUUUUGCUUUGCUUUUAUAAUAAUGCCCUUAUAAUAAUAUUCUUGACAUUAAUUAAUUUAUCUAUAAAAUUUUAAUUAGAAAAUUAACCAAUAAUUAUUUAGUAAUAAAUUAACCAAUAAAUAUUAGUACAAAAGAACUAAUAUUUUUUGUACAUGUGCGACAAUCGUGCUAAUAAUUUAUUUAUAAAUAAAAUUAAUAUUAGUCAACUUAAAGUAAUGCUUAUCAUCCUUGCAAUAAUUUUACUAAUAAUUAUUUUAUAAAAAAUUAAUUUACCAAAUUAAUCCUAAAAGUAAAAUAAUAACAUAAAAAAAAAUUACUGUAAAAAUUUUUAUGCUACUUUGAAGGCUAAUUUGAUAAAGAAUGGAACUACUAGCACUCCUUCAAAAUCUUUUUAAGACCCCUUUUUAAAUACACCCAAUCAAAUAAAUGAAAAAUUAUAUCACUUCUAAAAACAACCAUCUUUAUUCCACAAUUGUCCUUCAAUCUUAUCUCUCAUAAAAUGAUAAAAUUACAAAAAUAAAAAUCUUUUUGUGGAUACUAUUGCAAUAAUGAUCAUUAGCAUUCUUCACAAAUUUGAUUAACAAGUAUGGAAUGGUAUGUAACUUUAGAUUUCUAAAUUUUAACUUUUCUUUAUGUUUUGCAACAAAUAUACCUUCUAUUUUAAUAUAUGAUACCUAUUAAUUUAAUUUUUUUCAAAUAACAAAACUCACUUGUUCAAACAAACAAUGAGACCAAAAAAAGCAAGGGAAAAAAAGUGAACAAAUAAAAGGUAGAACUACUUGACACAUAAAAACUUUAAAAAAAAAUGAAAAAGAAGAGAUCUAGUAAAAGAAGUAUGAGUAUAAAAUAAGCCAGGCAAUGAAAGAAUCAUAGCUUUUCGACAAAUUCCAUGUCAAUGUCCUUUUGGAAUAAAUUUUUAAUGUUAUCUAUUUGAAUAAUGAUGGUGGUUGAGUUUCCACUUUCCAUUAUGCUCUCGAAUGUAAGCUUCUGAUGCGUCUUCUAAAAUAAUUCUAGAUAUUUUAUUUUAAAUUUAUUUGAAUUUGUAAGUUACCCUUUUAAUUGCGGUUAUCAUGUAAACAAUUGUUGCCAAAUCAUAAACAAAAUCCUGAGUAGGGACGAUAAUGGGACGGUUUUGAUCGAUGAUCCACUUAAUCUAAAUCUAAAUUUAUCAUAUUUGGAUCAGUAUAAAAUGAAUUUGGAGUGGGUACAUAUGAAUCUAGAUGAGUAAAUUCAAAACAAAUUUAAAGCACGUAUACAAAUCUAACUUAAAAUUCGGAUCCGUAUCCAUAUCUAAUUAGAAAUCUUUUAAUUUUAUUUUAUUUUUAAAAGUAUUAAACUAUCGAUGGUUUAAUACUUUUACAAUCAAAUUAAACUUAUACCUAGCUUACUGAAAUCAAUACCACAUUUAUGAGAUGCAAUAUAUUAUCAGUUUUAUAUGAAAUUCAAAGUAUUAUUUUUAAUUUUAUUUAAGAUGAAUUAUGUGUUUUAGUUGAUAGUAAGACGUUUUUUUCUCAAAUAUUUUUGUGCUCUUAUUAUUCUUAUGAGGCUUGAAAGUUUAAUAAGAUAAAUUUAUUAAUAUUCUAUUAUAAUAUAUAAAAUUUUAAAAUUAAAAUUGAUAAAUCCAAGAUAGAUUUGGAGCAAAUCCGAACCUUUAUUUUAAAUUUGAACUUAAAUAUACAGUAAAAAUCAUAAAUCUAUAAUGAAUUUAGAGUAAAUACAAAUCUCAAUUUUUAUUAUUAAUCAAGAAUUAGAACAGAAUAGAUCCAGCUGAUAUAUAUGUCCCAUUGUCAUCCCUGUGACUGAUGAAAAGAUAUAGGAAAAUAAACAGGAGUUUAAUAAGCUAGACAAUAAAAGAAUCAUAUAUAGCAAUGAUUGAUUCUUUCUUCCUAUCCUUAUGAAAUCUUUCUCAAUGUCUUUUCUACGAAAUCUUUUUUAAUGUCCUUUUCGAAAAUAUCACCCUUCAGCCAAUGACUUUGAGCUGAAGGCUGGUAUUUCAAUUCAUGAACCAACCGAACAAAAAUCGUUUGUCAACAAUAUGGAUCAGCAGCCAGAAGCUACAAUUUAUCAUUAUUAAAUAGGUGAUCAUGCUUGCAACCAGGCGCAGGACAGAGUCUCUGACCAUAUUUAAAUGUUGUAGAAGCGUAGCCAUAUAUAUGAAACGUUUCACUUUGUUUUCGUAUGUUAUCAAAGGCUCAGUUUUAAAAGUAAUAUUGUAAUAAGUAUUGAAGUGUCCCAUGCAAUAAAAUCGAAGUGUCCCAUGCAACAAAAUCAUGUCAUGCGUCUUAAAUUUAUUUUGCCCUCUUAUUUAUCCUAGAUGGUAAAUACUGUUAUGAUAGAUUAUUCAAAAGGUUAUAAGGGGAGAAGAUAAGUUUAUUUUUUUUUGGGGAAAAACAUUUCCUUGCUGAAAAAAGCAAAAAUUUACAUAAGUACUGCAAUGUCUGUGGGCGGCUCUUCCAACUGAAUAAGAUCGUUAAUCAAAGAGAGUGCUAAUUUUGCUAACUGAUAAGAAACUGUAUUACAAUUUCUAAUUUCUGAAAUGAUCCAUUCAAUCUCCUUUCUACUUGAUAAAACGCCCGUAAUUAGAUGGACAAGAUUUACUGAAUCAAAUUCCACAAUAAAAAGAGUUAAGCAUAAAUCUAUCGCCGGCUUGAUGCCUUCUAGGAUAGCUUCAGCCUCUGCAAACUCGAUGUCGCUAAGAAAAGAUUUCUUGUGGCUGAGCCAGCUAUAAAAUCUCCCUUGAAAUUUCCUAUAAUUGCACCCAAACCUGUAAUUCCAUUGGAGAUGUCAAUCGGUGCAUCAACGUUCAAGUUGUACCAAUGAUUAUCCGGUGGAAUCCAACUAACACCCUUCUUGGUUGGAGGGACUAGAAACUCUUGAAUUGGAGAGCCUUGAGCAGCAGUGUACGAAUUCAAAACAGCUUCAGCCUUGCAAAGAACACUCUUUGGGUCCAUCUUUUGAUUCUGAUAGAGCGCUAUGUUCCUAGAAUGCCAAAUAGACCAUGUAAUCAUCCCAAACGAUGGGUAGUCCUCUUUUGACAGCCAAGAUUCCAAAUUCUUUGCAAAGAGAGCAAAAUCCAUAUGAGGGUUAUUCGUUACAUAAGCAGCCAAAGUUGACAACUUCCACACCUUGAUCGCAAACUUAUAGCCAACUAACUCAUGAAAGGUACCCUCAAUAGCACUAAAACAUCGAUGACAAUUUGGAGAAUCCACUACUUUUCAUUUCAAAAGAUUAUUUGAUGUAGAGAGUAUAUUACGUAGAGCUCUCCAAAAAAAAGAUCGACUUUAGAUGGAAUGGAUAAAAGCCAAGCGGGAUACCCCAAUUAGCAUAGCCAAAUGAACUUAGAGGGGGAAUUAGGAUAAGUAAGACUAAGGGCCACUUGUAACCACUCUUAAAAGUUUACAAAUUUAUUUUGUACAAACUGAUUUGACAUUAACUUAUUGAUUAAAUAAAAAUACAACAACAUGUUUUUAUAUUUAAAAUAUAUAUAUUCACAUAUACGAAGGUAUAUACUUGAACAAUAUGAGUAAUACAUGUGAAUUAAAAUCAUCUCCUAAUCUAAGCUCCAUUAAUUAAUUUUAAAAAAAACUUGUCACAUGUUUUUAGUAUAGUGUAUAAUUAUUGUUAUGUUUUUAUUUAUUAAUUUCCAAUUACCUGCUAUAUAUCUUACUCAACAAUGUUUUGAUCAUGAGAGAAUUUUAAUUCAAAUACAUAUGAAAAAAAAAAGAAGAAGAAAUCUGAGACCAUACUAAUAAGAGAUUUCCUUUCAUGUGAUUUUAAGAUCAAAAUUAUGAUAGUAUGCAAACUUGGUUGCGUUUAGUAUUGUUCUUUAAACGAUGUUUUUGUAUUUAUUUUAUAAUAUAGAUAUGAUUAAUAUUUGAUGAAUUUGAAAUUUUGUUUGGUAUAUAGUAUAUAGUAUGAAUUUGACCACUAAAUACUUAAUAAUUAUAUUUAUAUACAAAAUUAAAAAAAAAUAAGGAUUUCUCUACCUUACGUUUAAUGUAAGGUACAUCCCCUUACAAAUUGAGCUAUAAGUCCCACUUGAGCCCACAGCCAAUAGAGAGGUUGUACCUUACAUUAAAUGUAAGUAGAGAUGGCCAAUGGGUCGGGCGGCACAAGGCACAGCACGUGUCCGUACAACAUGGCACGACACGAGCACGUUUCGGUAGGGCACGAAGCACGGCACGGCACGCAAAAAGGCACGUAAUAAGCACGCUUCAUUGAUAGGCUAAGCACGUAGCCCGUGGGCCAAAGUAUAUCAAAAUAAAAAAUUUUAAUGAAAAAUAAAUAUAAAAUAUCAUGAUUUUAUAAAUAUCUUGAAAUUAAAUUUUUUAAUAUAUUUUUUUAGCAUAGGUUUUUUAAAAUUAAUUUAAGUCCUAGUUUAAAUAAAUAUUCUAAUUUUUUAUGUUUAUAAUUUAUUAAAUGGAUAAAUAAAUAUCAUGAUUUUAUAAAUGAUAAAUGAAAAAUUUUACGACAUUAAUAUUUCAUUUAUGAAAUCAUAACUUAGUUAAUAGUUAAUGGAGAUAUGUUUCAUUUGUGAAUGAAAUAUUUUUCAUAUUUAUGCACAAAAAAAUAAAAUUAUGAACAAAAUAUUUUUAUGAUAAAUUAAAAAUUACAUUUUCAUUCAAUGGAGUUUAUGUGCAAUUAUAAUAUUAGUAGCUCAAAUAAAAUUAGAUGUAAUUGUUAUUCUAGAAUUGUAAUUUUAUUUUCAUUAAUUAUUACUAUGAUCUAUGAAAUUAUUAUUAUUAUUGUCGUUGUUGUUGUUGUUAUUAUUAUUAUUAUUAGGCUGGUAGGGUUAAAAAAGCACGCCAGGCACGUGGACUUUUUUAGGCAUACUGGACAUGUGGACAAAGAAAAAAGGUUGGUGGGCUUUUUUUGGGCACGGCCCACGGCACGAGUUUGGACAUGUGGACAAAAAAAAAGUUGGUAUGGGUUUUUUUUAGCACGAACCACGGCACGGUACGGCACGAGUGGGCUCGUGCCGUGGGCCGUGCCGGCUCACGAGCCCGCGUGGGCUGACAUUUUGUGGGCCGUGCCGUGCUGGCCAUCAUUAAAUGUAAGGUAACAGCUCCCAAAAAAUAAAUGAAAGAGAGAGGCAACAUAGCAUAAUACGGGGCCGGACCCACAUCUUCAUAAAACUAUGUCAUAAAAGCAGUGGUAGUUCCUAUGAACAAAGUGAAGAAUAAAGAUUUGAUGCUGUCUAAUUAUCUUCGUUAACAUUGUAAAAUAGAUAUGGUUUGCUUUCAUAAUAAUAAAAAAUGUUACUGUUACUGAGGCUUAUCAAACAUUUUUUUUCUAUUCUUAUAAAAUAGAAAAUGAGUGAUGAAAAACAAUACCAUACAGCCCAAAUUUUUUUCCAUUUUUACCCCUUUAAUCAUAGCCUAUCGGCCUCUCCAAUUAGUUGAAAUCUUGAUGAUUCGACCACAAGUUGUAAGAGAAAUUCUAGAAUAUAUCUAUUGUAUUAUAACUAAUUAAUGCAUGCACGACAUGCGUAAUUGAGUUUAAUACAACCACCACUUGCAUGAUAGUUUACAAAAUAAAUGCACACAUGUCAUGAUAUUAUUUGCUUGUUGUAUGGGUGACAUAGUACAACAGAUGUAUUCUAGAAUUUCUCCAAGUUGUAAAAUACCAUUUGAGUCACAUAUAUUAUUGGUAGAUGAGUAGAUCGCAUCUCCCUCAACCAACGAAUUGCAUGUCAAUGUGAAAAUUGAUUUAACUGUUUAGUCUGUUUUUCAAUGAGACGUAUUUCGUUCAAACUUUUACCUUCAAUCAAUGGGACCGAAGAAAGUAGGAAAAAAAAAAUUAAACAAAUAAAAGGUAGAACUAGUUGACAGACAAAAUUUUAUCAACAUUUUGAAACAACCAACAUUAAAAAGAAAUAAAAAAAUAAAAGAAGAGAUCUAGUAAAAGAAACAUGAGUUUAAUAAUUAAGCUAGAAAAGGAAAGAAUCUUAGUAAGCUUUUCAACAAGAUCCUUUUCAAUGUCCUUUUCGACAAAAUCUUUAUUGUCAAUAUAUUGAAAAAUGAUGGUGGUUGAGUUGUCACUAUGUAUCUCGAAUUUAAGCUUCUGAUACGGUCUUUUAAAAAUAAUUCUGGAUAUUUUAUUUUAAAUGGUAACUUUUAAUAGUGGUUAACUUGUAAACAAUUGUUGCCAAAUCAUAAACAAAAUCUUAUUGUCUCACGGAAAGAUACUGGAAAAUAAUCAUGAGUUUAAUAAGCUAGACAAUGAAAGAAUAAUAUAUACAUGUUAUAUAGUAACGAUUGAUUAUUUCUUCUUACCGCUAAGAAAUCUUUUUCUAUGCCUUUUUCGACAAAAUCUUUAAUGUUAUAUAUUGAAUAAUGAUGGUGAUUAAGUUUCCAUUAUGCAUCUCUCAUGUAAGCCUCAGUCCCUAGAAUUAACUAGCUCUCAGGAUUCCUGCAUCAGUUAACUACAGCUUCCAGGUUUAUCAAUAAUUAUGGUACACCAUCCUCCAAUAUCUGUGCAUAUAUAAUUUUUUAAACAGGAAUUUUGGAGUUUGGAUCAUAUUAAAAUAAAGGAUAAAUUAAAAAAUAAGACAAACACAUACUCUAACAUAUUUUAUUUUAUCAUGUAAUAUAUUGAAUUUCAUAUUUUUCUGUCUUUUUAGCUUGUUAUAACGAUCCUUUAUAAGAAAUUAAAUGUAUCUUGAUUCUCUCCCACACUAACUUUAGAAGAGAAAAUUAUUUAAUUUGCUUUAUUCUUUUACUACUACUGCGUCAAAAUAACCAACAAUUGACGACAACAAUUAUUGAAUAUGUAACAAAUUUACAUACAUUUUGACGACAUCUUUACUUGUUUGUGUUGGCAUCCUUAUUGGCAAAUUACAACAUCGUUCAGUCUUCUUAUAAUUAAGCAAUUGUCUAUGUAACAUAAAUUAUGUAUUAAGAACAUCAAUAUGGCGUGGAGCAUUGCGCAUAGAAGAGAAGAAGUAAAGUCUUAGGCGUCUACUCCAUGUGGGAAACAUGGGAUUAUCACAAAGAGAGAUUUAAAGAUUAUAACAAAAGAGAGAUUUUAACUAACUUGUUAUGGAGGGAUGAGAUAACGAUCAAGUUGGCAUAAUCUGUAGAGAUAACGACGAGUUUGGAAUAAUCAUGUGGUGAUAAUAUUAUGAUAUUCUGCCUUUUGAUCAACUGAGCACGCUCCCUCUCACAACACAACUCUCUUCAUAAGAAUUGGCCAACAUGGAUUGUCACUUUUCAUGUUAAUUUGAUAUUACCUUGAAUGGCAUAUUAAUUUGAUUUGAAAAAAUGGAACGAGAGUAGAGGAAAAAAGGAGAAUGAAAAGAAAUAAGAAAAAAAAUGAUGAAUUUCAUAUAAAAUCAAAUAAUGAAAUAAUAAAAUUGAGGUCGAUUCUCUUUUUUUUCUCUUUUUUCUCUAAUAAAAAUAUAUCAGAUUAAUGACAAAGUAUUGAUAUUUGAUCCCCUCAGUUUCUCUUAUUAUCUCCCACUUCUCUCAUUUUAAUUUGAAAAGUCAAAAAUACCUACCAAAAUAAUUUUAAGUUUUAAAUUUUACCCUUUCUUCUUUCUCUCCUCUCUCUUAUUCUCCCGACUUCCCUUCAUCUUCGUUUUCUUUAAAAAUUGAAGAUUAGUACACUUUCCUUCAUUUUUUGAUCUUUCUGUAUCGAUGAGAGCAAUAAUUGACAUCAUCAAACAAUCCUUUUCUACCCAAAUCAUGAUUAUAAACAAAAGUAAAAAAUAGCAAUAUCAUGAUAUGGAAUCUUGAUCAUAUCUCAUGAUCCCUCUUCAGCUUCUAUGUUAAUCAAAAAGAAAAAAAUAUAAUCGAUUAAAGAUUAAAUUUAAAUUUUAAAAUGUUGUCCUUUUUUUGGGGGGGGGGGGGGGGGGGGAUAAAAAAGAGUUUGAGAUCAAGAUGACAGUGUUGCAUAAAUAAUUAUUAUUAUAAUAAUUAAAGAAACGGCUUGCAUGUCCACUUAUUGCUAAGAAGAGAAGUGGUUCGCGCCGGCCAGUUCCAAGAAGACAAGUGGUGGGUGUCAGUGCAUGGUUAGUAAUUAUUGGGGACUAGAACUGAUUGCCAAGAGUGAGGGUGCAUUUAAUAUUGAGGUUGAGUAACUUUUAAGAUACUGUACUAAAGUGUUUGGUAAACACUAAUUACGGUAGCUUGGAAACUAUGGUGGUAUUUGUUUUUUAACUUAAUGACUUAAAGUGACUUAACUUAAUUAAUUAAGUUAAUUAGAGGUGUUUGUUUUUAUAACUUAAUGAGACUUUUUAGAUAAUUUUGACUUAAUAAAAUAAGCUAAUUUUUUUGGCUUUUUACUUAAUGGAGAAAUCUGAAUUAAGUUAAUUACUUGCUAAUGUCAAAAAUAUCUCUGUUUUAUAAUUUAUUUUUUAUGUCUAUCCCAAAACUCACCCAUAAAUAUUUACCCCACAUAAAAAUAUCCCUGUUUUUUCUUUCUUAUAUUAUAUACGAUAAAAUUUGAAAUUUAUGGUAUUUUAUAUAUUAAAAUUCUAAAAUAAUUAUGUAUUCACUUGAAUAUAGUUUUGCUUAUAAAUGUUAAAAUAUUAUGGUAUUUAAUAUAUUAUUUAUUUGACAUUCAAAUUUAAUAAGGCUACAAAUGUAAAAGUACAUAUUUUCAGCUUUUUAAGUUGAAAAAAACAAACAGCUUAAUACUUAUUUUCCGAGAUUCAUACGAAAAAACAAACAUAUUAUUCAGAUUCAGACAUUCAGAUCUAUUAAGAAUUCAGACUAAUUCAGGUUUAUUCAGAUUUUAGAUAAAAAAAACAAACGCCACCUAUGUUAAUAUGAUUUUUUUCUUAUAUAAUAAAAAAUUUAUUAUAUCUUUAAUAAUUUUGUCAAAAUUAUUAUUUAAAAUUUAUAUAUACUAUAUAUUAUUAAUUUUUGUUUCAUAUUUACAGUUUUUUUUCCAUAGCAGUUAUAACUUAAAAGGUAUAGCACCUCAAUUUCAAACAGGACCUGAAUCUUGUUCAACAAGCAACAGAUUUAGCACCGAUGAGAGAAGAACAAAUAUUAAUUUUAUUUUUUUUAAUGAGGGCAAUUCUGAAUAUAAUUAUAACUAGUAAAAUGGGAGCUAACGAGAUAAAUUGAGAGGUUUAAUAUCUUUACUCUUAAUGAUAAAAAUAACCACAUCGAAGUGCACUGUUAAAUAAAUAAGUGCCAUCACUAUUUAUGCAAUUUACAUGAUAUUAUGAUUAAUCUUGCAUAUGAUUAUUUAUUAAUAAAAAAUAUGUAACAUGUGCUAGCACAUACUAUUUUCCUCUAAAUUUCUUAUACCACAUUUUUUCCUAUAAAUAGAAAGAGGCACACGUCUUCCACGCAAAUCACACAAGUAAGACUUAGUAUAAUUAGAAACAUGAAUCUCAAAGCUUUCUUUGUUCUCUCCGCAGUGCUCUCUUUGCUUCUCUUGGUAUAUAUGCAUCUCUUUUUUAGGAAAAUUUAACAUAAAGGAUACCUAAUUAAGUUAGUUUUGAUGAGAUUCUCUUUAUCAUUUGUUUGAUCUAAUUUUUUUUUUUUCCUCUUGUUCAGUUUGCUAACAGAACAGAGGCCAGAAAAGAUCAGGGAGAAUAUUGGAGAGGCUUCGUCAAAGAUAGCGACGUGCCAGAAUCAAUUCAAAUUCAUGUUCGCCAGGAUCCUGUCUCAACUGCCUCUGAUGCCAAAGCCCACUGCAAAGAACCUGAAGAUUUAGAGCACAAGAGAGAAAAGACUUAUGUCAAGGAUUCUGACGCAACGAUUGAUAUCUUAGUUUAUCACAACAGUAUUAAACCAACUGAACAAAAGUUAUUUGGCAACCACUUCGAAAGCCCGGAUGCUACAAUUUACCACAAUGACAUUAAACCAACAGAACAGAAGUUAUUUGGCAACCACUUCGAGUCAAGCCCGGAUGCUACAAUUUACCACAAUGACAUUAAACCAACAGAACAGAAGUUAUUUACCAACCACUUCGAGUCAAGCCCGGAUGCUACAAUUUACCACAAUGAUAUUAAACCAACAGUACAGAAGUUAUUUGCCAACCACUUCGUGUCAAGCCCGGAUGCUACAAUUUACCACAACGAUAUUAAACCAAUUGAAAUGAUUAAAUCUUUUGUUAGCAAAUUCUUGUCAAACCCUGAUGCUACAAUUUAUCAUGAGUAACCAGACUCUGCUUUCAAUCGUGUGGAGAGAGCCCGUUAUCCAUCUGUAAUAUUUGUGCGUACGUGUGAUGCUCUCUUUCUAUAAAUAAGUUAUGAGGAGUGCGGUUGUUUAAUGCUCUAAGGCACAAGCUUUGUAAGAAAGUGUGUUUUUAUUGUAAAAUUGAAUAAAAAUUUGUGCCAAGUUAAUUAAUUAUCCCUUUUCUAGUGAUUUUUUUUUUUCUAAUGCUUUGAUUAUUUCCACAAAAUCUUUUCGUAAGGAAAGGGCCUAGCUACUUGAAUCAAUUUUCUCCAUUUCAACGUUAUUAGUAUAAUAAUAAUACAAAAAAUCAUUAAUCUCAGUAAUUGAUAAACAAUAUUCUUUGCUAUUAUAUUGAGAAUUAAUUCCUAAUCUGAGAAAAUAAAUUAACAAUUAAAAAAUAAUAAAAGAUCGUGAACUACUUAGAUUUAUGGCCCUCUCACAUGUCGAUGGUACUUUACAUAAUUAGAAGCCUUUUUAUUAAUUUUAACAGACACCAUUCAAUCAACUUUGGUGACAUACUGAUAAUUGAUGCAAAAUUCUAUUUGGGGAAAAAAAAGUAAAAGAAAGAACUCCUAUUUUAGCUCUUAAAUCUUAAUUUUUCAAAUUUUAGAAGGAUUAAUGAUCAACAUUAUUUAGCCUAUUUUAUUUAAUUUAUAACUAUAGAAAUCCUAAAGCUGAUGGAGUAUACUUAAUACCUUAUUUUCCCCAAUCACAACCGUCUAAAUUCCUGAAACAUUUCAUUUCUUAAAUUUCAACGGUACAGAUUAAUUCUCUUACGAAAACUCAGCGACUUAUCCUGGACCGCCGCUACUAAAAUACAUAAGAGUAAAAUACUAUAGUAUUCCGGGACAAAUUUAUUUCUUCCACGACGCAAUAAAAUGCUGCGUCCAAUAACAUUCUGUUUCCUAAAGCUUACCCAAAUCGCAGAUAGGAACAUGGUUUGCAAUAAUUUUUCUAACAGAUCCUGCCAUCAAAUUCGUUAAAAACUGGUUUAAUUUUUAUUAAAUAAUUUUAAGUAAAUUGAAUAAGAUAAAAAAUUUAAAAAGUUAUUAUUUUAUAAUGAAAAAGCUAGAUCAUCCAUACGUAAUAAAAAAUAGUACGCAUUCACAACUUAAUGCAAUAUAAUCUAGACAACCAAAUAUAUUUUAUGUAUUUUUUACAAAUUGCUUUUAGUAUAAGCAAAUAAGGUGGUUGUCUAAACAUUCAUAUUUUUGGAAGGUCUCAAUUUUUAAUAUUUUCUUAAUAAUUUUCUAAUUAAUAAAGAUAUUUUUUUAACUUAUGUAUUGUAGAAAAACCUAUUAGACAUUUUUAUUAUUAACAACUAUACUACAAUUAAGAGUCUUUUUUGUAUAGAAAAUCAAUAUUUGUAACCUUAUUGAUAAAGAGAAAUGAUUAAUAAUAUUUUUAACCAUUAAUUCAUUCAUUAUUAGUUUUCUCAAGAAAAAAAGUUAAAUUCUUUACCUUUUCAUUUUCCUAAAAAAAACUUGAUUAUUUAACAUUGAAAUCUUUGACUUUUAUUAUUCCUUUAGUUUCUAUUAGAACCUUAUAAUAUAAAAAAUCAAUAGAUAAAAAAAAUUUGUUCCUCCUUUCUUUACGAAGAAAAUUAUUAUAUUUAUUGGUUAAUUUAAAAAAGAAAAAUUAGUUUCUUGAAGUAUGAAGACCAUAUCUAUUAUCUGAUAAUCAAUUCAUGAUCUCGACUUUCUAGCUAUAUUCUGUCAUUCUAAAUAUUUUAUUUGAAAAUAAUAUUGUUUUUAUUUAUUUGUUUGUUUGCUUUUUAAGAGUUCUGAUGGAAGUAAAAAAAACAAAUCUUUUUUACUAAUUUUUUAGGUUUUUUUUAAAAGAUUUUUUAAGAUAUUUUUUUAUUACUGUUAAAAUUUAAGAAUUAAAGAUAGAAUGAAUUUUUGAGUCUUUUCAUAUUUCUUUGAGUAUUGAAAUUACAAAAUAAAAUAUGGCCUUACAAAAAAAAAAUUCGCCUAAGACCCCAUAUACUCUAAUGCCGACUCUGGGUGAAAUUAUUGAUUUUAUUAAUAAUAAUAUGAUGUAUACUAACCAAUGUACAAAACAGUAGUGGGUGACAUAAAUUAGAAUUGUGUUGCAAAAACAAGAGGUUUGAGUGAAAAAGAAUUUACAAACUCACAUUACAAUGUUAUAUAGUUGCCAUAUGUCUCACAUUUUCAAAUGAACAAAAUAUAAUAAAUACAGUAUAAUCUUUAUAACUGAAUAUUCAAUAGAUUAAUAAUCUCUACUGUGUAAUAAUUUUUUAUGGUCAUGACUUAGGCCAAUAGGUUAAAUUAAUAAUUGCAAUAAAUUAAUAAGAUGAUAUUUUUUAUGAAAACCCUUAUAUAACUAUGUGGCUCCAUUCAUAUCAAAAUUAAUAAUUUUUUAAAAUUAUAAAUAUAAUUGACAAUAAUUUUUUAUUUAUUAAAAUGUGAGUCGAUUAUUAUCUUGUUCCCUUAUUACUUCUUUUCCUUGAAAUAUAAAUCUAUUUGAAUCUCGUAUCUAAUUUUUCUUAUUACAUCUAAAAGUUUUGGGAUUGAAUUCUUGAAUUAUAAUAAAAAAAAAUUAUGAAGUGCUUUCGUACACAUAACUGGCUCCAAAGCAAUUGUAUCAUUCUCAACUUUUAUCAUCGACAUGAUUUUAAGUGAUGUCAGCAGUGGUUUAAUUUAUUCUAAACUUAAAAUCUCUCAACUUACAUCAUUUUUAUUAUGAUAAUCCAAGAGGUAAUUAAGUAGAUAAAUACAAUACAGUUAUUGUUUUGGUUUAUCUAAUAUCUAUUUAGUAGAUUAAUUCAUAUUCAAUAAAUUAGAUUAGUAAAAUAUAACGAAAUUUUAGUUAAUUAAAUGUACGUUUAUUGAACUAUAAAUGAACUCUAGAAAUUAAUAAAUUAUUAAUUUACUAAUUACAUAAUAAUUCUUUUAAUUAAUAAAAUUUAAAUAGUCCCAAUGUUAUUAAUUCAUAGAAGUUAUAUGAAAUAUGUGUCAACUAUAUAAUAUCGUAGUUUGUAAACAAAACAUAACUCUUUUGUUAAUUGAAUACUAACGUAAUGCUAUAGAAAUAACAUAUGUGACCAAUUUGCAUAAAUGUAUACUCUCUGUAUCUUAUUACAAAUGCUUUAUAAAUCAGUGACUCAGAUGUUAUUAUCUAAACUCGUGGAAGCAUUACUUUUGUCCCUGCCAAUAUCAUUCAGAUAAAUAGUUGUUGUGCGUUCAGAUUCACCAGGAAUGCUUACGCAAAACAUAGACUGAACCCAAGAGCUUCGAAACUCGAAACUGAACCAAAUCAUUCUAAUGGAAGAGAAACGCCGGGAAGCCAGAGCGCAACCGGCGGCUACGAGCUCGGCCGCAGCUGGAGCCGAGUCAGCGGCAUCCGAGCCGGCUUCGCUCGGCGCCGAGCCGGAGCGCACAAAAGGAAAGCCUCGGCGCUCUCAGCGACUAACGCUUCAUCCACGCCGUCGAAGCGCAUGACUCGCGAGAAGAAUUUAGUUGCUCACACUCCGAUCUACAACCAUAACGUUACAUCUUGACAUUUGUAGUAAGAACGUGAGAGGAUACCUGGAGUGUAUUGGGAUUUGGGCGGAAGAGAAAGGAGCCCUUGGAAUUGGGAAACAAAUGAAAUUAUCUGCAUGGUCCUUGUACUCGUGGAGGGACUGUAACUUCUGAACCAACAAUGCUGAAAAUGCAGGGUCAAAAAUCAACAUUAACUUGAUGAAUAAUUGUUUGAAAAAAAAAAAAAGCAAGAAAACUUGAUUAAUAUAAAAGAGAGCAAAGGAGCACAACCAUACAGAAGUUGUAUAAAGGAAUAUUAAUCAAGCUUGAUUAAUAUUCUUCUUCUAUCCAACACCACAAGAUGAAACACAGUAUUCCUGUUGCAGUAUAUGGUGAGAACUGUGAAGUGCAGGAAGUAGUUUCCUAAGAGAGAUGAUUGAAUGCUCUUAAUUUUUUUUUUCAGAAAAUCAUUUUAUUUUUAAUAAAAGUUUAAUUUUUUUUAAUAAAAAUUUUUAUUUAUUUUUUAUUAAGUUGUGUCUCAUAUUUACUAAUAAAGGAAGUUAUUUGGGUAUAUAAGUAGGAUGUCUCAUCUAACAUGCUAGUAGGAUAAAUCUCUCAUCUAAUAUGCUAGUAUUUUGGGUUAAAUACCUAUAAAUUCUAAGCCGAGUCCACAACAGUCCCCAAAAUAACUGGAUUUAAGUCCUAGCUACACCAGUAGAUUGAAUAGAAGUGCAAAUAAGUUUAACUUUUUUGUCAUUCAUUUUAGUCUUUUUUUUUUUUUUUUUUCACAUACAUUGAAAAAGGAUAACUCUGUCGUGAUUGCCAUGGCAGAGCCUAUUUCAAACGAUGGUGUAUGCUAAAGGAAAUUAUCAUGAGAUGAGUGAUAAACCAUACAAUCAGUAGCUACAGCCCACGAUUAAUCAGCCACAUGGCCACAAAUAUUAUUGGCGGCAAAUAUAUCAACAAAAUCACAAUAAAGAUGAGCAUCCUCGAUUCCAUUCCUUAAUGUAAAUAGGACAGCCUGUCUAGCCAUUACUUUAAGAGAUUUGGCUGGCUUUGACACUUGUAUAUAAGCUUGUAACCCUCUCAUUCUUUACAAGAAAUAAGAUAAUAUUUUCAGCUUAAUAAUUCUUUUCAGUGAGAUCAAAGAAAUGUAAAGAGAUAUAGUCACUACUACAAAAAUGUAAAACAAUGACCCAUAUGUUAUGACGGUUCUUCUAAACAACCGUCAUUAAAGAUAUUUAAUGACGGUUAUUAUGUGAACAGUCAUAAUAUAUACCACUUAUAAUGACGGUUAUGUAAUAAAACCGUCAUUAAAUGUCAAAUAAAAUUUACACUUAGUUUUAAUGACGGUUCAUUUAUAAAAACCGUCAUUAAAAGUCACUAUUUUUAAUGACGGUUCUUAUAUACAACGGUCAUUAUAUGUGUAGUUAAAAAUAAUAUUACUUUUAAUGACGGUUUUUUAAUAACCGUCAUUAAAAAUAAUAAUUUUUAAUCACGGUUUUUACAUAUAACGGUCAUUAUAUGUGUAAUUAAAAUAGUACUACCUUUAAUGACGGUUUUAAAAAAACCGUCAUUAAUAAUUUUUAAUGACGAUUUUUACAUUAAACGGUCAUUAUAUGUGUAAUUAAAAUAAUACUACCUUUAAUGACGGUUUUGUUAAGAACCGUCAUUAAAAAUAAAUUUAUUUUUAAUGACGGUUCUUAACAAAACCGUCAUUAAAAAUCAUACUUUUUAAUGACCGUUAUAUAUUAUAACGGUCAUUAUAUAUAUAAUUAAAAUGCUUUUAAUUUUAAUGACGGUUCUUUAAGAACCGUCAUUAAAAAUUGACAUUUUUAGUGACAGUUGUAUAAAACAACCGUCAUCGUAUAUAUUGAUAUAGUUAUAAAAAAAAAAAAAAAAUUGGCCUUAUACUGAACACCAAAUCCCUAAAAUUACAGAUAAUUUGUAAACAUUAAAAGUAAUGGCGCAAGCACGCACGCCGCCGGUACACUUAGCCCAUGCAGCAGCAACCGAGCACGGUAGCAACAGGCCACCAGCAGUCGCUCUCUCUCUCACGCACACGCAGCAGCAAGCCAACACCAAUAGCCCCUCUUUCUCAUGCUCACUCUCUACUAUGCCCUCUUACGUACUCAAGAAAACUCUAACCCAUAUCCAAACCCUCGCCGUCGAAGAAAACCCAAUCCUUAAUGGCUUGAAAUUAAAGCCUCCACCGUCAAUCACCAUCGAACCAAAUAAACUCUAGCCUUACCAUCACUCUUCGUUUGACUCGCUGAAGAAAGCACUCUAUUAGGUGAGUCUCUGUUGUUUGAUAAUAUAUCUGCACUCUUUGUUGGCCGAAGCUUUUAGACAAUUGCUUUGAUUCAAUUGCUUCGAUUGGUUAGUUCUCUGUGAUUAAUUAGUUAGUUACUUUUAAUUUCAUAUUUUCAUCUCUAACAGUGAAUUUGGGAGUCGAUUUCUCUGUCGGAUUUGUAAUUUUUGCUACAGAUCAAAAACAUCUUGAAGGUGUUUUCAUAUCUAACAACUUGAACUAUCAUUUAUUUUGUCUUGUUAAUGUUCAAUUUUUUUUUCUUUUUUUAUUAGUAUGACAAUUAGUCGAAUGUGCUUGCACAUAAAACAAUCUUUUAACUUGGCGUUGGAAUAUUUGUUUUGAGUUGUGUCCCCUUAAUCAAUGACCAUACAAAAGUUCCCCAUGAUAAAGUGUUUAGCCCUAUUAAUGCCAUAAAGUCUUGCUCUCAAUUUUUCUGAUUAUGCCUAUGGAUUGAUUACCUAUUUCAUUUACAAAUUCAAUUGGCAAAUGUACAAUGCCUGCAUGACACUCACAUUUGGGUUAUGAUGGUAGUCAUUAUGAGGAAGAAUGUUAGAAUAACAUCAGGGGAAACAUCUGGGAGAAGGUAUGUACUGUCAAGCUCUUUGUUAGAAUCAUCACGAAAUUUAUAUUGGAUCUUGGCUGUUCUAUGUGAUGCAUUUUGGAUUUGCUCUUACUAGACAUGCAAAAACCUGUAAAAUGUAUUUUUUUUUUCCAUUUUAGAUUUACUAUCUAGUAUCUUGUAGGUUUAAUCUAAAAUAGAAACCAUUGAGGAUACUGGACACAAUUCUAAUGAAGAGAAAAGAUGUUAGACUUUAGUAUUCAACCUUUUUUUUUUAGCCAUAUUUCUAGACCCCAAGUUUAUGUCAUGAUAAUUGUGUGAUUGAUAAGAUAUUUUGGUUUUGGACUUUAUCUCAUGGAUUUAGAGUUCGAUUAUAUUUGGAAGUGGAAUAAUGCAUUCAUUUACAUAUGAUGUUUGAUGAAGUUCCCAUAAAAUUAAUUCAAUUAUAUAUGUUUAUGGUUCUAAGGAAGCGGGGCAAAAAUUUUAUCAGUGGGUUGAUUUCACUAGUUUAAGUUAGUAAAGCAAAGAAAUUGUCUUUAUGCACUUUAACUUUCCUCCAUUUAAGGUGAAAAAAUUAUUGAAGCUUUUAGAAGUGAAUUGUUCAUUUUGUUUGUGCACUUAUGCAGAUGGAUUUACUUUUGGCUGCUUAACCCUUCCUCACUUAUAUUUUUUCAGUUUAAAUUGCAGUGUUUUGCUGCUGUGCAACAGCACAAGAGGCUGUUUUAUUGUUGUUUCUGUAAAAACACAGCACCAGGAAGCGUCCAGGUAAUGUUUCGCUGCUGUUAUGCAGUAAAAACAACACCUGAAAGUUUCUAGGUGCUAUUUUUACUGCUGUUUACGCAGAAACACAGCACCUAAAAGUGUCUCUAGGUUCUGUUUAGCUGCUAUUAUGCAGCAAAAACAGCACCUGGAAACUUCCAAGUGCUGUUUUUAUUGCAUUUUAUGCAGAAACAAAGCACCUAGAAGCAUUCAAGGGUUGCUUUACUGUUGUUUUGUAUUUAAAAUUGCUGUUAGAAAUUUUGGGUGCUAUUUCUCUGAAAUUUUGCUAUUAACAGUGCAGCUUAAUAAUUUCAUAUGUCGUUUUGAACCUUCUUCAGUUCUUUUCUCUUAUGUCUAUACUUAAUCUUUUCCCCCCUGGUAAUAAGCAGGUACAAUUUUUGCAAGGUAAUAUCUAAGCAUGCUGUUAAUUCUUUGGUUGAGACGUAGUAUUCUAAACUUCAGGCCUUAAUUUUUUUAUUUCCAAGUGUAUAAUGGGUAGGUACUGGAUCUCUUAUGGAUGAUGUAGUUAAUGCUUUUUUAUUGUCUCUAUUUUGGCAAAUGUGUUGUCAUUUAUUAUCUGAACACAUGGUUGAUUAACUUACUUGAGGUAAGUCUAUUAAUUAAUAGUGAUAUGAUACUUUAAAGUCUUGUUUUACAACUUAAGUCACUAAAAUGAUUUAAUAUUUAUGAUUUAUAAUAUAUGAAUAUAUCUUAAUUUCUCUUUAUUCUUUGUAAGAAUGAUGUAGAUUGCUGAAGCUGGUGAGAUUCAUUUGCAAUUGAAGACUUGAUGAGAAAUUAGAUGUACUCACACAUGCCAAUCUUGUUGGUUGCUAGUGCAUUCACUAGUAGAAGUUUAAUGAUUGUUGGAGAUUUUUGUAGAGCUAUCUCUUUGUAAAUGAAACAUUUGCAUCAUUUUGAAUAUGAAACAUUUGUGAAAAAUAAUUGUAAAGAAUUUAAUAUGAAAUUAGAAUUAAAAUAGGGGCUUGAAAUAGCCUUAAAUUUGCCAAAUUUAUUUUUUUAAUAAUAAAUAACAAAGAUGACGGUUAUUUCAAAAGAACCGUCAUCAAAUGUAGUGUUCUAUAACAAAUAUGACGGUUUUCUUCUAAAACCGUCAUUAAAUGUUGUUUCAAUAUUUAAUGACGGUUCUUACAAUAAACCGUCAUUAAAAUGACACAUUUAAUGACGAUUAUUUAGAUAAACCGUCAUUAAAGAUAGAUAUUUAAUGACGGUUCUUACAAUAAACCGUCAUUAAAAUGACACAUUUAAUGACGGUUAUUUAAAUAACCGUAAUUAAAAAUAUACAUUUAAUGACGGUUAGUGAACCGUCAUAAAAAACAUACCCUCUUUAAUGUCGGUGCCUAAGAUGACGGUUUUAAAACCGUCAUCUUAUGUCGUUUAAAACCGUCAUAAAAGACCAAUUUUGUAGUAGUGAGUCUAUUAGGUUGGCAAAUCUACUGAAACAAUAUUGUUUCCUAUCAACUCCGAAAUACAACCAAUUGAACAACGUUCAGAAAUCGAAAAUCAUUUAUUACCAGUAAGAUUUAUUAUUAUACGCUAUACAUAUGGCUUUAACAGUCACAUUACCAAUACAUUUUUAAUCAUGGUAGGUAGGUGCUGGAAUGUAUACAAUAUUAUCAGCCUGGAAGAAAUGGCAGACAUGGGAGCUCCCUGGCUCGAUCCCAAGCACACGAAACGAUGCAUGAUCUCGACUCCAAUGAGACGUAUCCAUGUGGCAAACUGCUACAGCUUCCACUCUAUCUCCAUUAUCACCACCUAAUGAAACACCGAAUAACUUGUUCUCAGUCAUUUGGCUGUGGCAGUAGAAGAUUGCAUAAGGGUAAGGCAUGAUAUGACAUGCCACCAUCUUGGGAGCAACCAUUGGUUUAGGCACUUGUAAAAUAGUGUAAUUUUGGAAAAUGGUAGCUGAUUUUGUGAGAAAUUUUGUGCUUAGAACUUCGAAUUUGGUCUCCAAUCCGAAAGUUCCGUGUACAAAAUCAAGCAUGGAUUCCAAAGAGGUAGCACAAAUUUUGGUUUCUCCUUCGAUGGGAGGAACUUCGCAAUGAUUCAGGGUCCCUUCCAUGGCUUUGGCUAGGGGUGAGUCAUCUGAGAACGAGAAGAAUUGAAGAAGGUAAGGCAGUUGUUUCAAUGAAAAUGGAAUGGAAUCUGCUUCUUCUCUAGGCAAAGCCUGAGGAUAAGCUGAAGGAUCUCUCUUGCGAAAAAUAAAUCGGCAUCGUUUCGCCAAUCUUUAGAUCCUUCAAG